rnacentral:rRNA from 1 species
GAUGCUAAUACCGGAUAACAACAGAUGAUGCCUAUCAACUGUUUAAAGAUGGUUCUGCUAUCACUCUUGGAUGGACCUGCGGUGCAUUAGCUAGUUGGUAGGGUAACGGCCUACCAAGGCGAUGAUGCAUAGCCGAGUUGAGAGACUGAUCGGCCACAUUGGGACUGAGACACGGCCCAAACUCCUACGGGAGGCAGCAGCA